rnacentral:rRNA from 1 species
AUGGACACCGUCGGCGCCUGGCCGCAUUUUGAGGGGCAAGAGUACAUGACGGUGUGGCCGGAGGAGGAGUACCGGACGGUGUGGUCCGAGCCGCCGAAGCGGCGGGCGGGCCGGAACAAGCUGCAGGAGACGCGCCACCCGGUGUACCGCGGCGUGCGCCGCCGUGGCCGGGAAGGGCAGUGGGUGUGGGUGUGCGAGCUACGCGUGCCGGCCGCCGGAAGCCGGGUUUACUCCAGGAUCUGGCUCGGCACCUUCGCCGACCCCGAGAUGGCGGCGCGCGCGCACGACUCGGCCGCGCUGGCGCUGUCCGGCCGCGAUGCGUGCCUCAACUUCGCCGACUCCGCCUGGCGGAUGAUGCCCGUCCACGCGGCCGGGUCGUUCAAGAUGGCCGCCGCGCAGGAGAUCAAGGACGCCGUGGCCGUCGCCCUCAAGGCGUUCCAGGAGCUGCAGUGCCCUGCCGAUGUGUCAAAGGCGCCAUCCUCCACGUCCGAGGAGAGCGCGCCGUCCAUUACCUCCAGCGACUUGUCUGGGCUGGACGACGAGCACUGGAUCGGCGGCAUGGACGCCGGGUCGUACUACGCAAACUUGGCGCAGGGCAUGCUCAUGGAGCCGCCGGCCGCCGGAGGGUGGCGGGAGGACCGCGAACAGGACGACGGCGUCGGCACGUCGCUGUGGACCUACUAG